rnacentral:sRNA from 1 species
GAGGUAUGCGGUCAAUGACCUAUGGUCGUC